UCUGGUGACUAUAGCAAGGAGGUCACACCUGUUCCCAUGCCGAACACAGAAGUUAAGCUCCUUAGCGUCGAUGGUAGUCGCACUUACGUUCCGCCAGAGUAGAACGUUGCCAGGC
rnacentral:rRNA from 1 species